UCCGGUUUGUCACCGGCAGUCUCCUUAGAGUUCCCGCCAUUACGCGCUGGCAACUAAGGACAAGGGUUGCGCUCGUUACGGGACUUAACCCAACAUCUCACGACACGAGCUGACGACAGCCAUGCAGCACCUGUCUCCUGGCUCCCGAAGGCACUCCUCUAUCUCUAAAGGAUUCCAGGGAUGUCAAGGGGCGGUAAGGUUCUUCGCGUUGCAUCGAAUUAAACCACAUGCUCCACCGCUUGUGCGGGCCCCCGUCAAUUCAUUUGAGUUUUAACCUUGCGGCCGUACUCCCCAGGCGGUCGACUUAGUGCGUUAGCUGCGCCACUAAAGACUCUAAGGUCUCCAACGGCUAGUCGACAUCGUUUACGGCGUGGACUAC
rnacentral:misc_RNA from 1 species